rnacentral:tRNA from 4 species
GGGGGCAUAGCUCAGCUGGGAGAGCACCUGCCUUGCAAGCAGGGGGUCAGCGGUUCGAUCCCGCUUGUCUCCACCA